rnacentral:rRNA from 1 species
GCCCAAAACCUAGUUCAAACACAUUAUCCAUACACCAGGCAAAACCAAUCAAAACAUUUGACAUGAUUAGUAGACGCGAUCGAACAUCACCACGGACACAAUAGAGAUAGUACCGCAAGGGAAAGGAAAUAAACCCUAAGCUCAAAAAAGCAAAGAUUAAACCUUGUACCUUUCGCAUCAUGGUUUAGCAAGCAAACCCAAGCAUAAAGUCUUAGCUUGUCACCCCGAAACCAAGUGAGCUACCCCCAGGCAGCUAGAAUGAGCACACCCCCUCCUGUAGCAAAAGGACGGAAUGACCUGGGGGUAGCGGUGAAAAGCCUAUCGAACUUGGCGAUAGCUGGUUGCUCAAAAAUGAAUUUAAGUUCUACCUUAACGCCCCCAACAACAUCACCUGAAAGUUAAGGAAACUCAUCGGGGGUACAGCUCCGAUGAAAUGGGAUACAACCCGAAUCUGAGAGGAAACCCAUCUCCACCCUCAGUAGGCCUUAAAGCAGCCAUCAAUAAAAAUAGCGUCAAAGCACCCCUUUAAAAAUCCCUAAAUAAAACCGCACCUCCAGAUAUCCACCUCAGAGCAACUCUAUUAUUAUAGAAGAACUAAUGCUAAAACUAGUAACUAGAAGGUUCACCCUUCUCCAGACACACCUGUCAAUCGGAAAUAGAACCCCUACCGACAUUUAACAGACCACAAAAGGAAUAAGACACCCACACCCUUUAACCCUGGCCUUUAUCACACUGUGACCCCAACACAGGAGUGUCACCCACAAACGAAAGAUGAAAAGUUAUAAAAGGAACUCGGCAAUCACUGACUCCAACUGUUUACCAAAAACAUAACCUUUAGCCACAAUAAGUAUUAAAGGCAAUGCCUGCCCAGUGAGAAUUUCUUAAACGGCCGCGGUACCCUAACCGUGCAAAGGUAGCAUAAUCACUUGCCCAUUAAUUAUGGGCUGGUAUGAAGGGCCACAUGAGAGUCAAACUGUCUCUUAUAGCCCAUCAGUGAAACUGAUCUUACAGUUCAAAAGCUGUAAUAAACACAUAAGACGAGAAGACCCUGUGAAAUUUAAACUAUCCUUUGGCCCUUAUCCCAGAGGUACUUUUAGUUGGGGCGACUUUGGAACAGACAGAACUUCCAAACACACGGGGCACUUCCCACAACACAGGCCCACAAGCCUUUAUACGAUCCAGUAGACCUGACAAAUGAACCAAACUACUCCAGGGAUAACAGCGCAAUCUUCUUCAAGAGCCCAUAUCAAAAAGAAGGUUUACGACCUCGAUGUUGGAUCAGGGGCACCCAAGCGGCGCAGCCACUGCUAAAGGUUCGUUUGUUCAACGAUUAACAGC